rnacentral:tRNA from 2 species
GCCGAAGUGGCGGAACUGGCAGACGCGCACGUUUGAGGGGCGUGUGAGGUAACUCGUGGGGGUUCGAGUCCCCCCUUCGGCACCA